rnacentral:tRNA from 7 species
GGGGCUGUAGCUCAGCUGGGAGAGCGCUUGAAUGGCAUUCAAGAGGUCGUCGGUUCGAUCCCGAUCAGCUCCACCA